UGACCGCUGGCGGCGUGCCUAAUACAUGCACGUCGAGCGAACAGACGAGGAGCUUGCUCCUCUGACGUUAGCGGCGGACGGGUGAGUAACACGUGGAUAACCUACCUAUAAGACUGGGAUAACUUCGGGAAACCGGAGCUAAUACCGGAUAAUAUAUUGAACCGCAUGGUUCAAUAGUGAAAGACGGUUUUGCUGUCACUUAUAGAUGGAUCCGCGCCGCAUUAGCUAGUUGGUAAGGUAACGGCUUACCAAGGCGACGAUGCGUAGCCGACCUGAGAGGGUGAUCGGCCACACUGGAACUGAGACACGGUCCAGACUCCUACGGGAGGCAGCAGUAGGGAAUCUUCCGCAAAGGGCGAAAGCCUGACGGAGCAACGCCGCGUGAGUGAUGAAGGUCUUCGGAUCGUAAAACUCUGUUAUUAGGGAAGAACAAAUGUGUAAGUAACUAUGCACGUCUUGACGGUCCCUAAUCAGAAAGCCACGGCUAACUACGUG
rnacentral:rRNA from 1 species